GUAGGUGAACCUGCGGAAGGAUCAUUAUUGAAUACUCUUGAUGGGUUGUAGCUGGCUCUUCGGGGCAUGUGCACACUUGUCUUGACUUUAUUCAUCCACCUGUGCACAUUUUGUAGUCUUGUGGGUUGAGAGCAGUCGACUAUCGGAUGGCUAUGGCCUUUCCGGACGUGAGGAAUGCUGAGUGCGAAAGCAUUCAGCUCUUCUCAAAUGACUUGCAAAACCUCUCCCUCAAGUACUAUGUAUUCAUAUACCACAUAGUAUGUUGUCGAAUGUGAUCAAUGGGCCUAUGUGCCUAUAAAAAUCAUAUACAACUUUCAGCAACGGAUCUCUUGGCUCUC
rnacentral:misc_RNA from 1 species